rnacentral:rRNA from 1 species
CAAUAGCGUAUAUUAAAGCUGUUGCGGUUAAAAAGCUCGUAGUUGGAUUUCUGUCAAGGACAACUGGUCCGCCCUCCGGGUGAGCACAUAGUUUGGUCUUGGCAUCUUGCUGGAAACUGUUGCUGCGCUUGGUUGUGUGGUGCAGCUUUCAGCACUUUCACUUUGAGGAAAUUGGAGUGUUUCAAGCAGGCACAUGCCUUUGGACACAGUAGCAUGGAAUAAUUAGAUUGGGCUUUUGCUCCAACUUGUUGGUUCCUGGAGCUGAGGUGAGAAUCAAUGGGGAUUGUUGGGGGCAUCCGAAUUUAGCCGUCAGAGGUGAAAUUCUUGGAUCUGCUAAAGACGGACAACUUCGAAAGCGUUUGCCCAGGAUGUUUNCAUUG